GCGAUGUCUCGAAAGCCGCAGGCAGGGUCACGGCCGCUGCCGCGCUCCCACCGCCGUGUCCCGAGGUGGCGUAACCCGGGGAGGGGGGUUCACGGGCUUAUCCACAGCCUCUCCCUUUGCUCCCACCUGUCAUCUCUAGUUUUUGUUCAUUUCUUUGCUGUCCGCCCACCCCAUCCCCUACAGCUGGAGCGACCCAGUCCCUAAGGACAAGGCAGGUUGCCCACGCGAAAGCACGGAGAGUUUGAGCCCCGGGAGGACAUCUUCUGCCCUCUGCCCCUGCCCCGGGCGGUCCCAGCGCAGCGCUUCGCGCGGGGCAUUCGACGAGCCCUGGGCACCGGACCGGGCUCCGCCGGGGGCGGUGAGGCGCCGCGCUACCCCCGAGGAGCCGCGCUGGGAGAAAUACAGAUGCAAAAGCAGGACGUGGGUAAAUGAGAGAAGAUAAGGUAUUGCUCCUGCAAGCAGAACAUCCUGUCUUCAAAGUGGAUUUCUAGCACCCACUGUGCUGCAACGCACUCCAGCCACAUAAGUCAACUCAUACAUCCCUGCUAACUUGUUCAAAGAGGAUUUUAUUCCUCUUCCACACCAUCAGAUCAAGCUCUGUGUCCAGUUGCUUCCCUGCAGUGAUACCAUGGACUCUUCAAGCACCACCCUUGGGAUAUGAUUUCUGUUGCAUCAAUACUGACACUAUUUGUGCAUGAUUUAAGAUUCUUUUCUGCAGAGGUCCUGCUUACUGAAUUUGGGCAGCUCCAUCUUCAAAAUUUAUUUAUCGUUCCACCAAUUUUAAUUUCCUCCCUAAUUUACUAAGCACUGUUUAAAUAGGGAUGUACUUGUCUCUCAACCAUUAAGGGCAGUACUGGGGCCUGCCAAGAGUAACACCCAUUUCUGCAAACUGACUCCAGAGCUUUCCUUCAGAGCUGACAGCUGCUUUUUGACACCUAUCAGUUAGUCAGUUCUUAAUCCCCUCAGCAGUCACUCAAUACCUGUUGUACAGUACUCAUUUGUAUUAAAUGCUUAGACAGAGAAGGCAAACAAGUGUAUUUGAAUGCUGAAAAAAUGGGCUAAGAACUUAAGUCCUGGAAAGUGUUAAAAAGCCUAAUCCCAACUGGUGCCUAAACACUUACAAGCACACAGACUUACGUGACUCAUUGUAGGUCCACAGUUAUGAAACCUCAUGCUUUGUAUAUUUUUCUGUUGAUAUUAAUUUCUCUUAUCUGUGAAAGAAAAACUUAGACUGUUGGAUAGACCACACAUUGCCUUUUGUAGUCACACACACAGAACUUCCCUUUUGUUUCUCUGCAUCUUCACAGGUAACUAUUCUUUUUCAAAAAUAAUUGUCAAUGUCAGUGUAAAUCUUUCAGAGAGUA